rnacentral:rRNA from 1 species
UGAGGAAUAUUGCCCAAUGGACGCAAGUCUGAGGCAGCAACGCCGCGUGGAUGAUGAAGGCCUUCGGGUCGUAAAAUCCUUUUCUGGGGGAAGAGAAAGGACGGUACCUCAGGAAUAAGUCUCGGCUAACUAUGUGCCAGCAGCCGCGGUAAGACAUAGGAGGCAAGCGUUAUCCGGAUUUACUGGGCGUAAAGGGCGUUGAGGCGGCCUUGUAAGUUGGACGUGAAAGCUCCUGGCUCAACUAGGAGAAGCCGUUCAAUACUGCGAGGCUUGAGGACAGCAGAGGGGGGUGGAAUUCCCGGUGUAGUGGUGAAAUGCGUAGAGAUCGGGAGGAACACCAGUGGCGAAGGCGGCCCCCUGGGCUGAUCCUGACGCUGAAUGCGAAAGCUAGGGUAGCAAACG